UACGGAGGAUCCGAGCGUUAUUCGGAUUUAUUGGGUUUAAAGGGUGCGUAGGCGGACUGAUAAGUCAGUUGUGAAAGUUUACGGCUCAACUGUGAACUUGCAGUUGAUACUGUUGGGCUAGAGUAUACAUGAGGUGGUCGGAAUUUGUGGUGUAGCGGUGAAAUGCUUAGAUAUCACGAAGAACUCCAAUUGCGAAGGCAGCUCGCUGGGGUAUAACUGACGCUGAUGCACGAAGGUGAGGGUAUCAAACGGG
rnacentral:rRNA from 1 species